CAAUAGCUCAGUAGGUAGAGCGUCGGACUCUCGUCCUCAAGGUCGUUGGUUCAAUUCCAGGUG
rnacentral:tRNA from 1 species